UACGGGGGGGGCAAGCGUUGUUCGGAAUUACUGGGCGUAAAGGGCGCGUAGGCGGUUUGUUAAGUUGGAUGUGAAAUCCCGAGGCUCAACCUCGGGUCUGCAGUCGAUACGGGCGGACUGGAGUUCGGCAGGGGAGACUGGAAUUCCUGGUGUAGCGGUGAAAUGCGCAGAUAUCAGGAGGAACACCGGUGGCGAAGGCGGGUCUCUGGGCCGAUACUGACGCUGAGGAGCGAAAGCGUGGGGAGCGAACAGG
rnacentral:rRNA from 1 species